rnacentral:lncRNA from 1 species
NNACGGUGCACCAGGCCUUGCUGCGGCUGCCCCAGCACCAGACUGAUGUCCUGCUCACCUUCAGUCAGCCCCCGUAAGGAGGACAGAUAGGACACAUGGCUCAUGGCUCGGUCCCCAGGAGGGGCUGCUGGGAGGGGAGGAGCAGGGAGANNNNNNNNNNNNNNNNNNNNNNNNNNNNAGGAGGUGGGAACCUCCAAACCCAAGGCCUGGAUGAUGUUCUCUCUCCAUCUGUUCCCCCACCCUCAAGCCCUGACAACAGGCCAUUUCUUAGCCCUGAAAAUCUGUCACUUCUGCCCUGGAGCCUGGGUGACUUUGAACAGCUGGUGACCAGUCUGACCCUUCACCAUCCCGGCAUCUUUGGUCCCCAGUAAAGAUCCUGAAGUACCGCGUGACGCUGCUGAAGCACGUGGGGGCCCUGUUCUGCAAGGGGAGCGAGGGUUUGGAGAUAUUCCCCUAAUUCCUUCCCUGUGCAUAAACAUAAGACACCUCCUGUCUGCAGAAAUAAACUUGCUUUAUACCCAAGAUAAUCUCUGUGCCAUUGCAUCUAACAAGACACCUGGACCCCCCCCCCGCCGGGUUCCCUUUGGUCUUGGAGUGGGGAGUGUAAAGUUUGUGCAUCAGAGCAGAAGGGACCCAAGGCUGCCCAAAUAAAAGGAGGAAAUACUUUGGAGUGACCGGUUCAGCCCUGAGAGAGGGGUAUGAAGUGUCCAGGGAGACGGGUAGGGAAGGUUUAAAGAAAGUGACACCCAAGAAAGGGAGGGAAACUAUCCCUUGUAGUGAUUCAACCCUGAGAAGACAGUUAGGGAGUGGCGUAGGCGGUUCCCUUUGGAUGGACGAAAAGAUCCGCUGGUCAGAAGUCACGAGAACACAAUAGUGGAGGCAGAAGUGUCUAAGGAGUGCCGAUGUGGUGGUGUGGGAAGGACUGGCUGUUAUUUGGUGUACGUGUGGUAGAGGGUGCGUAACUGGUCCCAGAAGAAGAGGGAAAGGAUGGUGUGGGGGCCAAGGCGGAAGUAGGAGGCACCUAUACCCUUGUACAUGCCAAAAAUGCCCUCUGUCCGAGCGGUCUGCCGCAGAGCAUCCAGCAUCCCCCGGUACAUGAGGCCCUGAGAGCAGGUUGGAGAGGGAGGGAGAGCACAGGGAAGGGGUCUGUCAGAGCCCACCAGGGGGCCUCUCCUCGGCAGGCUGCCUUUCUG